rnacentral:miRNA from 1 species
UGGAAGACUUGUGAUUGAGUUGUU